CGCCUCAGCCCCCCUCCCACGGCCCUCGGCUCCGCGCUGGGCUCCCCCAGGCCCCGCCGCCCCCGCCCCCCGGGAACUGCUCCCCGCCCGGGCCCUCUAGCGCCCGGCCCCCAACCCCCGGCUACAGCGCAGCCCACGCGCCGCCGGCCGCAAGCGUAGAGCGACAGUGCCAUCUCGUGCCUGUCGCUGGCACUGCGGGCCCGGCCGGAGCAGCAGCAGGAAGACCGCGGACAGGGCGUGGGGCGAGGGGGUCCAGGCAGGACCAUUUCCCCUCCUCCCCCAAGCCGCAGAGCCUUUAAAAGAGCCCUGUAUCCUUUGCAGCGCCGACGUUUCCAGCACGCGGGCGGCGACCCCCGUCGGCACCCACCAGUCGAGACGUUCUUUGCAAGUCGGACUGCCUCCGUUUUCCAGUGCAAACGCUCCUGCUUAGCGGAAGCGGUCGGGGCCUCCUCGCCAGGGAAGAGCAUCGACUCCCCUCGCGUUUGCACCACCCGGUGAAGUUGUUACUACGUGGCAUCAUACACACAGGGAGAGAAACCCUCCUGCUGGCCUCCUCCACCCGAGGUCAGCCCCUGGCUGCUUCCCAAAUAGCUGGUGGGAAGAACAGUGUGGGUGGAGGGAGAUGUCGCAUCAAUCAAUAGCGGCUAAACCGCUUCCCAGCACGGCCUGGGAGUGACCGGAGGAUGCUGGAUGCCCCAGGUGGGCAGGGCGUGAGUGCAGGCUCCGAGGGGGCACCGGGGAGCAAGUUUCCAGUGCCGGGCAGGACAAGACCAGCAGUGAGAAACAGGCGUCGCAGCGCGCACGAGCCAGGCAGGCGCUGCUCUCAGUGCUUUCCCUGGCUUGUUUUCUUAUGGUUGUAAAAUACACGUAACAUAAAAUUUACCAUUUUAACCAUUUUAAAGUGUACAACUGAGUGGCAUUUAGUACAUUUACGAUGCUGUGCAACCAACAUCGAUAUCCAGUUCCGGAACUUUCUCAUCACCGCAGAAACCCUGUAGCCUGCUACUCCCCAUUCUCCCUCCCCCCCAGCCGCUGGCAGCCACCAAACUCUGUUCUGUCUCCAUGGCUGCGCCUCUUCUGGACGAUUCCGGUACGUGGGAGCACCACGUCGAGCUGGGUCACCCCAGUUCUUCACAGUGGACACUUCUCAGUAAGGCGGGAGGUCUCCGUUAAGCAUCUGAGCAGCAGACUCAGGAAAGCGCAAAGCGGAGCAUCGUUGAUGAAUUUUCUAACGCCCCCUUCAGCGUGGCCCAGCGGCAUCGUGGCCGCGCCCUGGAGGAGGAAACGAGGCCAUCACAGCUCAGCUGCGGCGAUGGGCACGCCUCAACUGCUGGCCUGUCGAAUGUGAUCAUCCUGGUCUUACUGUCUGUUAGGACCUUCCAGGGUGACAGCCCAUUUAACCAGCGCAGUAAAACUGGGGGUGGGGGGCAUUAUCACCCCCGUUUUACAGAGAAGGAAACUGACAGCCAGGAGUUCAAUCAGUUUUCUCCAAGUCUUUAAAAAUGGCAGAGUUGGGGUUUGAACCAAGACCAAGCCGUCCCCAAAGCCCUCUCUGAGCCACCCCGGGGAUCUUCCCUCCUCUCUUCAGAAGGCUGUUCCUGAUGUCAGGGCGGAGAGCUGCCUGCCGGACAGAUGAGCCCUGUCCCUCGGUCACAGCCACCUGGCGAGCUGCUCUCAGACGAGCCACCUCGCUGGCAGGCUCAUACCGUCGUUAACUGCUGGACACCUUGAACUUGACCAGGGAAAGCAACCUGAGCCAUUUGGACUGAUAUGGAACCGCACACCCAGAAACCGACCGGCUGGGAGAGCAGGGACCCGCUGAAAGCACUCAGGACCCCACCGUGAACGCGUGUGCGUUAGAGAUGCCGAGGGGCUGGGCUCGCGGCAGCCACCAGGCAGCGCCAGCACCUGGUCUGGGGCACAGGAUGCCACAGACUUUAUUACAUCUUAUUAAAUGUUAAAGUCCCCUGGGGAAGGCGACCUCGGAACCACAGCAUCUGAAGUUCAUUGCGAUCAUCUCCUUGACAUUUACAAAUUCAUAAUGUAUAAUGAACUAACCUGAAGUGGAACUCUUUAAUUAAUUGCAUGAAACAGAGAGUGUAUAUUAAAAAUGAAUAAAUAAGACAAACAAGGUUGAGUUUGCAGACCUCGAGUAAACUGGCUGUGGAAGGAGCCUUCGCACACGUGGCUCGGACUUGAGGGCUGGCCGGGGCCUGAGUCCCGGAGAGCCCCACGCAUCCACUCCUCAGGGGCGGGUCCCGGACGGCGUGUGAGCUCCCUCCACGACCAUGGACACUGUUUGUAGGACACCUUCGUGAUGUCUGCUGCCGGUUUCAGAAACAGGAGUCUCUGAGUUGGAGAUGCCGUGUUGCCUGAGUCCCCAAGAGACACUGGGGCAUCUGGGGCACUCGAGGACGCACCGUGCACAAGUGGCAGAGCCCAGAUGUGAACUCAAUCCAUGUCUUCCCGCUCCUGCCCUCAGCUUCUGCUCUGUGAUUUACACAACAAAACUCACCGUCCAUCCCUAGAUAUGGAUGCUCCGAGCAUGGUGCCGGCCAGGGGCUGACCCUGAGGCCACGGCUGCUUGGCCACUGCCACCCCCAGGUUCCCCUCCGCCCCUGGGGCCUCCCGGUGCUGUGCCAGGAGCCCUCGCCCCUGUGCAAGCGAGGCCAAACUUGCAGGGCUUUCUGGAGAGCUCAUGCAGCUCCAAGGAGAGGCUGUGAACAGCAAGAGUAGCCGCUCCAAGCCGUGCUGACAGCUCCUUGGGAACGAAGGCCCUGAUUACAUAACGAGGCUGCCUGGGGAAGGAAGACGGUGCCUGCUUAGGGUUUUGCAAAAGGAAAAAGAGAGACAGUUAAAUCUGCCCUGCUCACGCCUCACGCGUUCCUUCUUCAGGCAGUUGUUAUGGAGCCCGAGGCGGCACCGGGCCCUGCUGGAGGCACCAGGGAUGUGAGAGAGUCGGACCAAAUUCCCUGUUCCUGGGAUGCUGACAUGCUAGUGAGGGAGAAAGACCACAAACCAAAUAAACAGAUGAGCAAGCUGAGGCAUGCCCGUUGCCCAAGGUCACACAGCUCCUAAGUGGCAGGACCUGGACCGGAACCCACGUAUCCUGGCUCUGGAGUCCGUGUGCUGAACGCCUUCCCUCCUCUGCAGGUAGGGCAUGAGGGUGUGACAGAGCUCGGCCAACUGCACUCGGAAUCGGGAGCUACCAGCCCGAAGAAGCAGGGACAGAAGCCCGUCUGGUGGCAGAGCUGUGUCCAGCGUCCAGGGGCAUCAGGGCCCAGCAGCAGUGGCAGCAAUGGCCUCCCUAGUUCCGUGGCAUGCUUCUCUCUCUGUCUGGACGUCCUCAUUCUACCCAUUUGGGAGAAUGGGUAGAAACUUUUUCAGCUUCUCAACAACUCUGUGAGCUCCCCCGGCAUCAUUUCACUAAAUUCCUUUUCAGCUUGAAGCACCUGGACUCCGGCUCUGUUGCCCACAUCCCAGCAUCCUGCCUGACACGGUUGACUGACACACACCAGCGGCUGUGCACUGCCCUCUGCGGUCACUGCCUUCACAACGAGCUCCCCGUGACUUGAGCUCUCUGAGGGGGAUUCCGGCCUUUGCAACUGACCGGUCCUGGCUGCAGACAACCCAGGCUUUCCAAACCCUGAGGCCGUACCAGGAGGGCACUGUGGCUGCAGGUGGACCCUGGUUCUGGAACAAUCACCGCUGUCCUGGGGACGGCGGCCAGGCCUGCUGUCACAGUGUGGUUCAGUCUUGAUCUAUCCAGAUGAGGUUUUUAUCACAUUUCCUCAUUAUUAAGAAUUAGCUCUGUGUCAUUAGCACACCACGCUAUGAACUCAAAUCUGUCCCACCAUCUGGAGGGACGCUCCAAGCUCACGGCACGGAGCCCAGACGGACGCUGUUAGGAGAGCUGUGAGCAGAGACCCGCUGAGGCGGGGAGAGCCAGAGAGGGAAACAGAGAGACAGAGACAGACAGAGAAAGAGAGCGAGGCAGAGACAGAGUGGGAUCCACUGGCCACAUGGCCAUUUAGUAGAUGUGGACACUGAGUCCCACAAGAGGUGACGGGCCCAGCAGGCUGCAGGCUGGACCUUCCAAAUUCACAGCCUUCCAGGGCAGAUCCCCCGUUUGUGCCUCACCAGCAGCAACCCCCACCCCCUUCGGUGAAGACCACCCAGAUUGCCUUUGGGGAACUAUAAUGCUCUCAUUUGCAUGGCCCCGCCCACAUGUGGCCACAUGACCCAAGCCUGGCCAAUCAGAAUCGCAGGGCUCGGGGAUAAGCACAUAAUCCACUUUCAGCCAGUGGGAGUCCGGUCCGGGAGUUUUGCUGGAACUCCCCAGAAAGUCAUGUUCUUUGCCCCUGGGAGGACCGAGAGCUUAGAAAAUGACCCUGGCACGGGAGACAGUGUUGCGAUGUAGAUGUAGUUCUGCGACAAAUUUUAGAAAGUUGCCUUCAUAUUCCUGCCUCUAAAAUAUACUCAGAUAUUAACCAUGAAGUGGCCAAAAUGCAAUGUCAUUUUUUUCUCAUUGAUGGUUUCCUAUUGGAUAAAGUGGGUAAUUACGUUUUUCAAAAUACACUAUGCAUUUUUCUCUGAGACUCAAUAACCAAUAGAAAGUAGUGGUCAGGAGCAAGGACCCUGGAGCCAGCAGCCCACCUGGGUUUGAGCCCAGCCCCAGCACUUCCCAGCUGCGGGACCUUGGGCAGCUGGCCCAGACUUCGUGCCUCGAUUUCUUCAUCUAUAAAACAGGGGAAAUGCUGGCGCUCACCUCAGGGACCCGACAGGAAGAUUAGGUGAGCUAUUGCAUUGUGAUGUGAUG
ensembl:lncRNA